AGUGAACGCUGGCGGUAGGCCUAACACAUGCAAGUCGAACGGCAGCACAGUAAGAGCUUGCUCUUACGGGUGGCGAGUGGCGGACGGGUGAGGAAUACAUCGGAAUCUACUUUUUCUUGGGGGAUAACGUAGGGAAACUUACGCUAAUACCGCAUACGACCUACGGGUUAAAGCAGGAGAUCUUCGGACCUUUCGCGAUUGAAUGAGCCGAUGUCGGAUUAGCUAGUUGGCGGGGUAAAGGCCCACCAAGGCGACGAUCCGUAGCUGGUCUGAGAGGAUGAUCAGCCACACUGGAACUGAGACACGGUCCAGACUCCUACGGGAGGCAGCAGUGGGGAAUAUUGGACAAUGGGCGCAAGCCUGAUCCAGCCAUACCGCGUGGGUGAAGAAGGCCUUCGGGUUGUAAAGCCCUUUUGUUGGGAAAGAAAAGCAGCAGGUUAAUACCCCGCUGUUCUGACGGUACCCAAAGAAUAAGCACCGGCUAACUUCGUG
rnacentral:rRNA from 1 species